rnacentral:siRNA from 1 species
ACAAAUAUGAGACGUUAUUGCGAC